CGCUGCACUGCGGGAGAGCGUCGCCGCCGGGACCCGCGUCCCGGUCGGGCGGCCGCCGAAGGAGCAACACCUCCUCGUCAAACUCUCAGGCACCCAGGACCGUGGUGUCGAC
rnacentral:ncRNA from 2 species